CUUGCUCUUGUGGAUCAGUGGCGAACGGGUGAGUAACACGUGAGCAACCUGCCCCUGACUCUGGGAUAAGCGCUGGAAACGGCGUCUAAUACUGGAUAUGUGACGUGACCGCAUGGUCUGCGUUUGGAAAGAUUUUUCGGUUGGGGAUGGGCUCGCGGCCUAUCAGCUUGUUGGUGAGGUAAUGGCUCACCAAGGCGUCGACGGGUAGCCGGCCUGAGAGGGUGACCGGCCACACUGGGACUGAGACACGGCCCAGACUCCUACGGGAGGCAGCAGUGGGGAAUAUUGCACAAUGGGCGAAAGCCUGAUGCAGCAACGCCGCGUGAGGGAUGACGGCCUUCGGGUUGUAAACCUCUUUUAGCAGGGAAGAAGCGAAAGUGACGGUACCUGCAGAAAAAGCGCCGGCUAACUACGUGCCAGCAGCCGCGGUAAUACGUAGGGCGCAAGCGUUAUCCGGAAUUAUUGGGCGUAAAGAGCUCGUAGGCGGUUUGUCGCGUCUGCUGUGAAAUCCCGAGGCUCAACCUCGGGCCUGCAGUGGGUACGGGCAGACUAGAGUGCGGUAGGGGAGAUUGGAAUUCCUGGUGUAGCGGUGGAAUGCGCAGAUAUCAGGAGGAACACCGAUGGCGAAGGCAGAUCUCUGGGCCGUAACUGACGCUGAGGAGCGAAAGGGUGGGGAGCAAACAGGCUUAGAUACCCUGGUAGUCCACCCCGUAAACGUUGGGAACUAGUUGUGGGGGUCCAUUCCACGGAUUCCGUGACGCAGCUAACGCAUUAAGUUCCCCGCCUGGGGGAGUACGGCCGCAAGGCUAAAACUCAAAGGAAUUGACGGGGACCCGCACAAGCGGCGGAGCAUGCGGAUUAAUUCGAUGCAACGCGAAGAACCCUUACCAAGGCUUGACAUAUACGAGAACGGGCCAGAAAUGGUCAACUCUUUGGACACUCGUAAACAGGUGGUGCAUGGUUGUCGUCAGCUCGUGUCGUGAGAUGUUGGGUUAAGUCCCGCAACGAGCGCAACCCUCGUUCUAUGUUGCCAGCACGUAAUGGUGGGAACUCAUGGGAUACUGCCGGGGUCAACUCGGAGGAAGGUGGGGAUGACGUCAAAUCAUCAUGCCCCUUAUGUCUUGGGCUUCACGCAUGCUACAAUGGCCGGUACAAAGGGCUGCAAUACCGUGAGGUGGAGCGAAUCCCAAAAAGCCGGUCCCAGUUCGGAUUGAGGUCUGCAACUCGACCUCAUGAAGUCGGAGUCGCUAGUAAUCGCA
rnacentral:rRNA from 1 species